rnacentral:rRNA from 1 species
UGUUGCCAGCGGUUCGGCCGGGAAGUCAAAGGAGACUGCCAGUGAUAAACUGGAGGAAGGUGGGGAUGACGUCAAGUCAUCAUGGCCCUUACGAGUAGGGCUACACACGUGCUACAAUGGCGUAUACAAAGAGAAGCGACCUCGCGAGAGCAAGUGGACCUCAUAAAGUACGUCGUAGUCCGGAUUGGAGUCUGCAACUCGACUCCAUGAAGUCGGAAUCGCUAGUAAUCGUAGAUCAGAAUGCUACGGUGAAUACGUUCCCGGGCCUUGUACACACCGCCCGUCACACCAUGGGAGUGGGUUGCAAAAGAAGUAGGUAGCUUAACCUUCGGGAGGGCGCUUACCACUUUGUGAUUCAUGACUGGGGUGAAGUCGUAACAAGGUAGCCGUA